AUUGAACGCUGGCGGCAGGCCUAACACAUGCAAGUCGAACGAGCGGCGGACGGGUGAGUAAUGUCUGGGAAACUGCCUGAUGGAGGGGGAUAACUACUGGAAACGGUAGCUAAUACCGCAUACCAUCAGAUGUGCCCAGAGGGGAUUAGCUAGUAGGUGGGGUAACGGCUCACCUAGGCGACGAUCCCUUGCUGGUCUGGGAGGAUGACCAGCCACACUGGAACUUAGAGACGGUGCAGACUCCUACGGGAGGCAGCAGUGGGGAAUAUUGCACAAUGGGCGCAAGCCUGAUGCAGCCAUGCCGCGUGUAUGAAGAAGGCCUUCGGGUUGUAAAGUACUUUCAGCGGGGAGGCGUUACCCGCAGAAGAAGCACCGGCUAACUCCGUGCCAGCCGCCGCGGUAAUUC
rnacentral:rRNA from 1 species